AAGUUGUAACAAGGUUUCUGUAGGUGAACCUGCAGAAGGAUCAUUAAUGAAUUAAAUUGAAAGGGAGUUGUUGCUGGUCUCUUCUCACCCGGGGGGAGGCAUUGUGCAUGCUCUCCUUUCCUUCAUUCAUCUACCCCCAUGUGCACUUAUUGUAGGCCGAGAAAUUCAGUCUAUGUAUUUUUCAUUUACACCCCUGUAAAAGUUUAAUGAAUGUUUCAAAUAAGAUUGAGGACAUGAGUCCUUCAAUUUUAAUAAAAUCUAAUACAACUUUCAACAAUGGAUCUCUUGGCUCUU
rnacentral:misc_RNA from 1 species